rnacentral:rRNA from 1 species
UUGGAGGGCAAGUCUGGUGCCAGCAGCCGCGGUAAUUCCAGCUCCAAUAGCGUAUAUUAAAGUUGUUGCAGUUAAAAAGCUCGUAGUUGAACUUCGGGGUCUACCCAUUGGUCAGGCUUAAUUGUCUGCACUGGUGAGAUGGAUCUCUACCUUCUGAGGAACUUUCAUGCCAUUUAUUUGGUGUGAUGGGAAAUCAGGACUGUUACUUUGAAAAAAUUAGAGUGUUUAAAGCAGACUAUCGUCUGAAUACAUUAGCAUGGAAUAAUGAAAUAGGACGGACUGAUUCUAUUUCGUUGGUUUCUAGGAUCACCGUAAUGAUUAAUAGGGAUAGUUGGGGGCAUUAGUAUUCAAUUGUCAGAGGUGAAAUUCUUGGAUUUAUUGAAGACUAACUACUGCGAAAGCAUUUGCCAAGGAUGUUUUCAUUAAUCAAGAACGAAAGUUAGGGGAUCGGAGACGAUCAGAUACCGUCGUAGUCUUAACCAUAAACUAUGCCGACUAGGGAUCGGACGAAGUUAAUUUUAUAAUGACGCGUUCGGCGCCUUACGGGAAAC